GAACUCAGUAUGUAGACCAGGCUGGCCUCAAACUCACAGAGAACUGCCUGCCUCUGCCUCCUGAGUGCUAGGAU
ensembl:miRNA Gm25303 predicted gene, 25303